rnacentral:rRNA from 1 species
AUGAACGCUGGCGGCGUGCCUAAUACCUGCCAGUCGAGCGAACGGACGAGAAGCUUGCUUCUCUGAUGUUAGCGGCGGACGGGUGAGUAACACGUGGAUAACCUACCUAUAAGACUGGGAUAACUUCGGGAAACCGGAGCUAAUACCGGAUAAUAUUUUGAACCGCAUGGUUCAAAAGUGAAAGACGGUCUUGCUGUCACUUAUAGAUGGAUCCGCGCUGCAUUAGCUAGUUGGUAAGGUAACGGCUUACCAAGGCAACGAUGCAUAGCCGACCUGAGAGGGUGAUCGGCCACACUGGAACUGAGACACGGUCCAGACUCCUACGGGAGGCAGCAGUAGGGAAUCUUCCGCAAUGGGCGAAAGCCUGACGGGGCAACGCCGCGUGAGUGAUGAAGGUCUUCGGAUCGUAAAACUCUGUUAUUAGGGAAGAACAUAUGUGUAAGUAACUGUGCACAUCUUGACGGUACCUAAUCAGAAAGCCACGGCUAACUACGUG